rnacentral:sRNA from 1 species
AUGCCCAGCGGUAUCUCCCAGACCGGCAACCCCCGACCCUCCAGUCUCCAUGUCUUACAGAAGCCAAAUUCGAGAGUUAUAUAAUUUCUAGUGCUGCUGUUGCUCCUGCCUGAGGAAACACUUCAUCGCGUGGAGGGUGCAGGACAUUUCAGUGCUCUUCCCUAAAAGAACGGGGCUUGGGCAGGGGUGGCCAGCGGUGGCAGAGAAAUGUCUUGUCUUUUCUGCAAAAGGAAGGUGGGUAGUUUGAAGAGAGAUUGAGAGAAAAGGUGGAUGUGAAAGCCAAGCAGCUGCACUUUCUCAUUUAGGAAAUCGCGGACCGUUUACAUAGCUUAUGCUUACAUGUCUAAUACUACUACGGCGUCUCUGAAAACACCUUUGCGGGAAGGUUUGGCUUCUCUCGAAGUCUCAGUGUUUUUCCUCGCCGGAUAGGGAGCUGCUUGAAUGCGAAGAGAUGGCAUGAUGUGAAUGACUCCAGUGUGAAGAAAUCUGCUUCGCCAACUCAUCCUGCAUCAAGUGCCCAUUGAGUAGCACUGUCACUUUAAUGUCUCCAUGCCAAGGGAUUGCUUUCCUUUUUUUUCAAUCCUCUCGGUUAAUACAUGGGAGGAUCAGAAUCAGAGGGGCAUUAAGGAUCAAGCCUGGGGGCUUGGAGAGCACAGAAGAAAAAAAUGAAAGUGACAGCAAGCUGGAUUCUGAGUUACUGAGGGGAAGACUCAGCCUGGAUUUCAAAACUGAACACUGAAGUGGUUUGCAACAGUUACCUGGCUCUUGGCCUCAAUCCAGCUGGAUCAAACUGAGACCUGAAAAGAGAUAUUGACUCCUGUGGCAGUGGAAAGACCCAAGAAUGCCAGUCAAGAAGACAGAUACUGACCGAGCUUUAUCAUUACUGGAAGAAUACUGCAAAAAAUUAAGGAAACCAGAGGAGCAGCUGUUGAAAAAUGCGGUUAAAAAGGUGAUGGGUAUCUUUAAGAGCAGCUUAUUCCAAGCUUUGCUAGGAUGCUGAAAUGGCAAAGUAGAUCACUGGUCUGUCACAUCAUAAAUAAGAACUACAAACCUUGUAUGCGAAUCCACUGACCACACCAGGUGAAAGGCUGUUGUUCCUUUAACUGAAGGAUGCCAACGUGGUGGAAGAGGACUGAAGAUCAAUUUUGGCCAUGACAUAAUUACUACAGUUGGAUGCCUCUGUGAUCAUACCAGAGUAGUUUGGUGUUUCCCUCAUUAGGUAGCUUAAAAGCCCUACAAUCCAAUGGCUGGAGUUUGAUGUUCAGUCCCAUUAGAUCCUUUUUUGUUAUUUCAGAAUUCAGUGGGCAAAGGUGAACUUACACAUAUGCUACUAUUUGUUUUGCUAUGCAGUUCUCUCAAUAAAUACUGUAGCAGAAA